rnacentral:lncRNA from 1 species
GGUACGAGGCAGUCCUAAGCAGCUUGCUUGAAUAUUCAUGAACGCGAGGGGCAGAAAGCGGAAGUUCACGUGUGAUCGGGAUAUGAUGAGAUGGGGCCAGGUGGGACAUCUUCUCUGUUCUAUUGUUGGAGCUGUGAAGAGGUAUGUGUGUGUGGGGGGGGAGGAGGGUUUGUCAAUACCAGAGGUUGAACCCAGAGUCUCACAGAUGUUAUUCACAAACCACACUGCACUCCCAUUUCCAAAAUGUAGGAUACCAAGCAGGUGCUCUACCACUGAGCUAUAGGCAUGCCCUGUGCUAUAACACUGAACCACACACCCAGACUUUACCAAAGCACCUGUCUAGAAUCCUCCAGUGAGGGGCUGGUUGUGGCUCAGUGUUAGAGCACCUGCCUAGAAUCCCCCAGUGAGGGGCUGGGGGCGUGGCUCAAUGGUAGAGUCCCUGCCU